ACGGAAGGCAGCAGUGGGGAAUAUUGGACAAUGGGGGCAACCCUGAUCCAGCGACGCCGCGUGAGUGAAGAAGUGUUUCGACAUGUAAAGCUCUAUCAGCAAGGAAGAAAAUGACGGUACUUGACUAAGAAGCCCCGGCUAACUACGUGCCAGCAGCCGCGGUAAUACGUAGGGGGCAAGCGUUAUCCGGAUUUACUGGGUGUAAAGGGAGCGUAGACGGUGAGGCAUGUCUGAAGUGAAAACCCGCAGCUCAACUGCGGGACUGCUUUGGAAACUGUCACACUAGAGUGCAGGAGGGGUAAGCGGAAUUCCUAGUGUAGCGGUGAAAUGCGUAGAUAUUAGGAGGAACACCGGAGGCGAAGGCGGCUUACUGGACUGUAACUGACGUUGAGGCUCGAAAGCGUGGGGAGCAAACAGGAUUAGAUACCCUGGUA
rnacentral:rRNA from 1 species